rnacentral:rRNA from 1 species
UGGGGAAUAUUGCACAAUGGGCGCAAGCCUGAUGCAGCCAUGCCGCGUGUGUGAAGAAGGCCUUCGGGUUGUAAAGCACUUUCAGCGGGGAGGAAGGCGAUAAGGUUAAUAACCUUGUCGAUUGACGUUACCCGCAGAAGAAGCACCGGCUAACUCCGUGCCAGCAGCCGCGGUAAUACGGAGGGUGCAAGCGUUAAUCGGAAUUACUGGGCGUAAAGCGCACGCAGGCGGUCUGUCAAGUCGGAUGUGAAAUCCCCGGGCUCAACCUGGGAACUGCAUUCGAUACUGGCAAGCUUGAGUAUCGUAGAGGGGGGUAGAAUUCCAGGUGUAGCGGUGAAAUGCGUAGAGAUCUGGAGGAAUACCGGUGGCGAAGGCGGCCCCCUGGACGAAGACUGACGCUCAGGUGCGAAAGCGUGGGGAGCAAACAGG